CAGGUCUGCAGGCAUCAGGUUGCAGGCCCUGUCAAUCACAUCACAUCACAUUUUUCCCUGUUUCCUGACACUUCAAACGGGGCCACUCUAUGUUUGACAUGAAACAUCAAACGUGGCAGGAGCCACGCAGCUAGCAAGGCAAGAGGCAGAAGGAGAAUGCUGUGAGCCCAUUAGGUUUGCAUUGCCUGUGAUGUGGCACCGCUAAAAAGGACGAGCAUUGACAGCACUGUACAAGACAUCUCUUACAUGUGCCUGGAGUCAUGUUGAUCAGGCACAGGAGUGAGCUGGUCGUGGGCACCUGCCAUUGCUAAGCACAGCUAAUACAAUCCUGGAGCAAGCUGCCUUCUGAAUGGCACUUGGGAGUGAGGGACACGAGGAGUAGUGCUAUAAGUAAGUACAGUUCAGCAGAGAAAAACCCACUUGACUGAACCCAGUGUUUACAGAAAUGUGGAUACACUGCUUGAACUCAGGCUCUGCAGAUGUCACUCUGUCUUUAUGCAGCAUGUACUGUUGAUUUUGUUUAACCCUGCAACAUCUUCCUGCUGUUCCUGUUAAAGUUACCAGCUCACAGCUCUGCAAAUGGCUGUGGCAUGAAGACAUCUGCAAAGGAACCAGAGCAAACCUCAUCUUCUAACAAACCAAAAUCAUGUAGCAGAAUGCAGGAGUUGACCACAGUGCUGAGCAAGUGGUGUAUGUCCAUAUGAUCUGCUCCAGCUGGAUGGGCAUAUCCUUUUUUCUCAAUAA